rnacentral:rRNA from 1 species
UACGUAGGGCGCAAGCGUUGUCCGGAAUUAUUGGGCGUAAAGCGCUCGCAGGUGGUUCGUCGCGUCGUGCGUGAAAGACCCCGGCUCAACUGGGGGAGGUCGUGCGAUACGGGCGGACUGGAGGCCAGUAGGGGGAUGCGGAAUUCCGGGUGUAGUGGUGGAAUGCGUAGAGAUCCGGAGGAACACCAGCGGCGAAGGCGGCAUCCUGGACUGGUCCUGACACUCAUGAGCGAAAGCGUGGGGAGCGAUCCGG